rnacentral:rRNA from 1 species
UACGGAGGGUGGGAGCGUUGUCCGGAAUCACUGGGCGUAAAGGGCGCGUAGGCGGCGCGGAUAGUCGGCGGUGAAAGCCCGGAGCUCAACUCCGGGUCGGCCGUCGAUACUUCCGGGCUUGAGCACUGUAGAGGCAGAUGGAAUUCCGGGUGUAGCGGUGGAAUGCGUAGAGAUCCGGAGGAACACCAGUGGCGAAGGCGACUUUCUGGCCUGUUCUUGACGCUGAGGCGCGAAAGCUAGGGGAGCAAACGGG